UCGUAAAAUGGGGAUUUAAUUCCCCUAUUAAAAUGUCUUCUGCUCUUUCUACUAAUUUGGCUCCAGAAAGAAAUUACACAACAGAUAAGCAAAUUAGCAGAGUUUUGUAGUAGGGACUUAAUUUAAAAUCCAGUGAAGUCAAUGGGCAAGGAUUUUUGGGUGCUAAUAAAUAAGAGUGGCUCUAUUAAGGGAACAAAAGAGAAUUAACUUCAAAAUGCAUUGUCUUGUAAGGGUCUGCGUGUGUACAGCCACCUUAAAACUGUUGACAGGGGAUCGAGACUGCCUAGGAAUUAAUUCUGACAGGCCCUCAUCACGCAGUCACAAUCUUUUCUGAAAUCUCAUCCAAUAUUUUAAAGAACAAAGAAAAAUAUAACCAAAAUAAAGAUGACAGAUGAAGAAAUACAAUUAUCAAGAAAAUAAAGAUGAAGCAACAACCACUGCAUUGAAUAGCUGACUGACUGAAGCAUCAGGCUGCCCUCCCCACCCAAAUACAGUUCACAAUCAAUUAAAAACUUCAAAGACAAGGAUGGGGAGCAGGAAGACAGAGUCGGGAACAGGAACACAGGAUACACAGAUGAAUACUCAGGCAACCCAUCAGCCUCUCUGUAGUCCCGCUUCCUGACAAUCUCAUCCUCUUCCUGCCAAGCUGUGGUCUUUUUAGGGUUUUGGGCUCAGUGCAAAAUGUUUCAAGAAGAGGGGGAAUAAAGAAGAU